UCCUCCUUAAAUAUUAAAAAAACAAAUUAGUAUUGAUUAGCAAAGGCAGAACCUCCUCCACUCGAAGCUCUAAUGAGGAAAAUUAGGACCAUUGUGGGAGGUACUGAAGAAAAAAGGUGUACAUAAAGGUGAAUUUUCACUGGAGAGAUGAUCCUGGAACAGCCCUAAUCCAUCAGAUGUGGCUAGGAGUCAGUGGAUGCUGUAGCCAAUGAAAAACAGUGAAAACUAUGGUUGGUUAGCAAACCUUGUUGGGUGUGUAUGUGAACUGGCCAAAUGGUCCUCUCCAAUCCACAAAGUCUCCCACUUUCCAUUUUGACACACAAUUUGACAUCUUUCCAUCCUUGUAUAUCUAAAAUAGAGAAUAUUUUAAUGAUACCUCAAAUACAUAGGAAGUGUCACUCAAUAGGGCCCAGAUUACAGCACAACAAUAAUAAUAAUAACAAUCUUCAUUUAUAAUAAAAUAUGAAUAAUAUAAUAGUAAUUUUUUAAAUAAUUAAGGCAUUUUUUCUAUUUAUUUCAAACAUUUGAUAUAAAAAACAUGACAUGGCCUACACAUCAAAACAAGAACAAACUAUGUUCUUGUGCCACUACAAUACCUUGAUCAGAACAGCAAAGAAGCCAGAGCUUUUCAAUGGACUCACAGGUGUGUAUUGACGUGUUAUGAACUGGUCAUCAACUUUUCCCCUGAAGAACACAACAAAC